rnacentral:rRNA from 1 species
AUGGAGGCGCAGCAGUCCGCCGGCAUGGCCGAUCUCGCCGCCCGCCUCAUCAAGCGACUCGCGGACGCCAACAGAGACCGCAACCUGGUCUUCUCGCCGAUCUCCAUCUACGCCGUACUGGCGCUCCUGGCCGCCGGCGCCGGUGGGGAGACCCUGGAAGAGAUCCUCGGCGUCCUAGGCACGCGGUCCCGCCUCGAGCUAGAGGACUCCGUGGCGCGUCUCCUGGACGGAUCGUCGAAUCCUGACGGCGGCGGGCCGAGCGUGGCGUUCGCGUGCGGCGUCUGGAGCGACCUGACGCGGCGGCUGAAGCCGGCCUUCCGUGACGCCGUCGUCGGCAAGUACAAGGCCGAGGCCAGCUCCGUCGACUUCCACAACGACCCGGCGCAAGCGACGGCGCAGAUCAACGCGUGGGCCGCUGCGGCCACGAGGAACCUCAUCGACUCCGCCGUCCCUCCGGGAGCCGUACGCCCGGACACCGACCUCGUGCUGGCCAACGCCAUCUACUUCAGGGCCAAGUGGCACGUGCCUUUCUACAAAAGCUCGACCAAGAACAGGCCCUUCUACCGGCUGGACGGCACCGCCGUCGACGUCCCCUUCAUGACGUACCACAGAGAUAACUAUCACGACAUGGCCGCGCACGACGGGUUCAAGGUGCUCAAGUUAGGAUACCAGCGUAGUCCGACGUACACCCAGCGCCACAGCAUGUGCAUCUUCCUUCCGGACGCGCGCGACGGCCUGAGGAGGCUGCUGCACAAGAUUACGUCGUCGUCCCCGGCAGCCUUCCUGCGCGAGCACCUGCCGACGCGCUGGGUUAAUGUGGACGAGGUGCUGGUGCCCAGGUUCGAGCUCUCCUUCGAGAGCAGCAUCACCGCCGUCCUUAAAGAUCUGGGGCUCCGGCUACCUUUCAGCCAACGGGCCGACCUCUCCGAGAUGCUGGAGGAGGACGUCCUCGUGCAAGAUGUCUUCCAGAAGGCUGUCAUCGAGGUCAACGAGGACGGAACGGAAGCUGCCGCUAUGACCAUCUAUGACGCCAUUGUGAAAUCCUCAUGUCAACACCCGCCAGAGGAGUCGCAUGCCAUCCUCUUCGCCGGACAUGUCGUCGACCCUAGCAAUGGUACCGGGGUGGUGAUUCCGUCCGGGGAGCGCAGCGCGACAAAAGGUAAAAUUGACAGGUUCAGUGACAAGGUCGACACCAAAUCCGGCCGCAAGAGGCGGAGGGAUGAGCCGUCGCAUUCUUCCCACGGCCACAGCUCCAGCAGGCAGCAUCGACGGCACGGGAGUAGACGAGUUGCCAGAAGCGAGAACAGAAGAGAAGAGAGUAGAUAUUAUUAUCGUCUUUAUUAUCGAACCCAUUACCGUUUCAUCGGGUUGCCCCCUCGCCCUCUUCCAGUGGUUGGUUCUGCUUCGUGUUGUCCAUCAUGGUUCCUCGCCUACUUCGUGUUUUCCGCCAUUUUGUUCCUCGUCUGCUCGUGGUGGUCUGUUUGUUCGCUGGUAGAUAGGUGUUCCUCAUCUAGCCGUGUUGGUUCUAGGGUUGUAGAUGUUUGGAUUUCGGUUUAG